GACGAACGCUGGCGGCGUGCUUAACACAUGCAAGUCGAACGGAAAGGCCCUGCUUGCAGGGUACUCGAGUGGCGAACGGGUGAGUAACACGUUGGUGAUCUGCCCUUCACUUCGGGAUAAGCCUGUGAAACUGCGUCUAAUACCGGAUAGGAGCCAUCUUUAGUGUGAUGGUUGGAAAGUUUUUUCGGUGUAGGAUGAGCUCGAGGCCUAUCAGCUUGUUGGUGGGGUAAUGGCCUACCCAGGCGGCGACGGGUAGCCGGCCUGAGAGGGUGGACGGCCACAGUGGGACUGAGACACGGACCAGACUCCUACGGGAGGCAGCAGUAGGGGAUGUUGCACAAUGGGCGCAAGCCUGAUGCAGCGCCGCCGAGUGGGGGAGGACGGCCUUCGGGUUGUAAACGCCUUUCGCUAGGGACGAAGCUUUUUGUGACGGUACCUAGAUAAGAAGCACCGGCUAACUACGUG
rnacentral:rRNA from 1 species